CUACGGGAGGCUGCAGUGGGGAAUAUUGCACAAUGGGCGCAAGCCUGAUGCAGCCAUGCCGCGUGUGUGAAGAAGGCCUUCGGGUUGUAAAGCACUUUCAGCGGGGAGGAAGGCGGUAAGGUUAAUAACCUCAUCGAUUGACGUUACCCGCAGAAGAAGCACCGGCUAACUCCGUGCCAGCAGCCGCGGUAAUACGGAGGGUGCAAGCGUUAAUCGGAAUUACUGGGCGUAAAGCGCACGCAGGCGGUCUGUCAAGUCGGAUGUGAAAUCCCCGGGCUCAACCUGGGAACUGCAUUCGAAACUGGCAGGCUAGAGUCUUGUAGAGGGGGGUGGAAUUCCAGGUGUAGCGGUGAAAUGCGUAGAGAUCUGGAGGAAUACCGGUGGCGAAGGCGGCCCCCUGGACAAAGACUGACGCUCAGGUGCGAAAGCGUGGGGAGCAAACAGGAUUAGAUACCCGGGUAGUC
rnacentral:rRNA from 1 species